CUACGGGGUGCACCAGUGAGGAAUAUUGCACAAUGGAGGAAACUCUGAUGCAGCAACGCCGCGUGGAGGAUGACGCAUUUCGGUGUGUAAACUCCUUUUAUAUGUCAAGAAAAUGACGGUAGCAUAUGAAUAAGCACCGGCUAACUCCGUGCCAGCAGCCGCGGUAAUACGGAGGGUGCAAGCGUUACUCGGAAUCACUGGGCGUAAAGGACGCGUAGGCGGGAUAUCAAGUCAGGUGUGAAAUCCUACAGCUUAACUGUAGAACUGCACUUGAAACGGGUAACCUAGAGUAUGGGAGGGGGAGAUGGAAUUAGUGGUGUAGGGGUAACAUCCGUAGAUAUCACUAGGAAUACCUAAAGCGAAGGCGAUCUCCUGGAACAUAACUGACGCUAAGGCGUGAAAGCGUGGGGAGCAAACAGGAUUAGAUACCCUAGUAGUC
rnacentral:rRNA from 1 species